AUUGAACGCUGGCGGCAGGCCUAACACAUGCAAGUCGAACGGUAACAGAAAGCAGCUUGCUGCUUUGCUGACGAGUGGCGGACGGGUGAGUAAUGUCUGGGAAACUGCCUGAUGGAGGGGGAUAACUACUGGAAACGGUAGCUAAUACCGCAUAACGUCGCAAGACCAAAGAGGGGGACCUUCGGGCCUCUUGCCAUCGGAUGUGCCCAGAUGGGAUUAGCUAGUAGGUGGGGUAACGGCUGACCUAGGCGACGAUCCCUAGCUGGUCUGAGAGGAUGACCAGCCACACUGGAACUGAGACACGGUCCAGACUCCUACGGGAGGCAGCAGUGGGGAAUAUUGCACAAUGGGCGCAAGCCUGAUGCAGCCAUGCCGCGUGUAUGAAGAAGGCCUUCGGGUUGUAAAGUACUUUCAGCGGGGAGGAAGGGAGUAAAGUUAAUACCUUUGCUCAUUGACGUUACCCGCAGAAGAAGCACCGGCUAACUCCGUG
rnacentral:rRNA from 1 species